AAGAGCUCAAAUUUAUAAUCUGGCCCUUCGGUGUCCGAGUUGUAAUCUCUAGAAGUGUUUUCCGCGUUGGACCGCACACAAGUCUGUUGGAAUACAGCGGCAUAGUGGUGAAACCCCCGUAUAUGGUGCGGACGCCCAGCGCUUUGUGAUACACUUUCAAUGAGUCGAGUUGUUUGGGAAUGCAGCUCAAAUUGGGUGGUAAAUUCCAUCUAAAGCUAAAUAUUGGCGAGAGACCGAUAGCGAACAAGUACCGUGAGGGAAAGAUGAAAAGCACUUUGGAAAGAGAGUUAACAGUACGUGAAAUUGUUGGAAGGGAAACGCUUGAAGUCAGACUUGCUUGCCGGAGCUUGCUUCGGUUUGCAGGCCAGCAUCAGUUUUCCGGGGUGGAUAAUGACGGUUUGAAGGUAGCAGUCUCGGCUGUGUUAUAGCUUUCCGUUGGAUACGCCCUGGGGGACUGAGGAACGCAGCGUGCUUUUUGCGAAAGACUCGUCUUUUUCACGCUUAGGAUGCUGGUGGAAUGGCUUUAAACGACCCGUCUUGAAACACGGACCAAGGAGUCUAACAUGCUCGCGAGUAUUUGGGUGUCAAACCCGGAUGCGCAAUGAAAGUGAAUGUAGGUGGGAACCGCAAGGUGCACCAUCGACCGAUCUGGAUUUUUUAAGAUGGAUUUGAGUAAGAGCGCGUAUGUUGGGACCCGAAAGAUGGUGAACUAUGCCUGAAUAGGGCGAAGCCAGAGGAAACUCUGGUGGAGGCUCGUAGCGGUUCUGACGUGCAAAUCGAUCGUCAAAUUUGGGUAUAGGGGCGAAAGACUAAUCGAACCAUCUAGUAGCUGGUUCCUGCCGAAGUUUCCCUCAGGAA
rnacentral:rRNA from 1 species